rnacentral:rRNA from 1 species
GACGAACGCUGGCGGCGUGCUUAACACAUGCAAGUCGAACGGAAAGGCCCUGCUUGCAGGGUACUCGAGUGGCGAACGGGUGAGUAACACGUGGGUGAUCUGCCCUGCACUUCGGGAUAAGCCUGGGAAACUGGGUCUAAUACCGGAUAGGAGCCAUUUUUAGUGUGAUGGUUGGAAAGUUUUUUCGGUGUAGGAUGAGCUCGCGGCCUAUCAGCUUGUUGGUGGGGUAAUGGCCUACCAAGGCGGCGACGGGUAGCCGGCCUGAGAGGGUGGACGGCCACAUUGGGACUGAGAGACGGCCCAGACUCCUACGGGAGGCAGCAGUGGGGAAUAUUGCACAAUGGGCGCAAGCCUGAUGCAGCGACGCCGCGUGGGGGAUGACGGCCUUCGGGUUGGAAACUCCUUUCGCUAGGGACGAAGCUUUUUGUGACGGUACCUAGAGAAGAAGCACCGGCUAACUACGUG